CGGGGAAAAGAACCCACCAGGGGAUGCCUCAGUAACGGCGAGUGAAGCGGCAACAGCUCAAAUUUGAAAUCUGGCCCCCCCUCUGGGGGGGUCCGAGUUGUAAUUUGCAGAGGGCGCUUUGGCAUCGGCGGCGGUCUAAGUUCCUUGGAACAGGACAUCGCAGAGGGUGAGAAUCCCGUACGUGGGCGCCUGCCUUUGCCGUGUAAAGCCCCUUCGACGAAGUCGAGUUGUUUGGGAAUGCAGCUCUAAAUGGGAGGUAAAUUUCUUCUAAAGCUAAAUACCGGCCAGAGACCGAUAGCGCACAAGUAGAGUGAUCGAAAGAUGAAAAGUACUUUGGAAAGAGAGUCAAAUAGCACGUGAAAUUGUUGAAAGGGAAGCGCUUGCAGCCAGACGUGCGCGCGGUUGCUCACCCCGGCUCUCGCCUGGGGCACUCUUCCGCGCGCAGGCCAGCAUCAGUUCGGGCGGUCGGAUAAAGGCCUCUGUCAAGUACCUUCCCCCGGGAAGGCCUUAUAGGGGAGGCGCAAUGCGACCAGCCCGGACUGAGGUCCGCGCAUCUGCUAGGAUGCUGGCGUAAUGGCUGUAAGCGGCCCGUCUUGAAACACGGACCAAGGAGUCUAACAUCUAUGCGAGUGUUUGGGUGUCAAGCCCGGGCGCGCAAUGAAAGUGAACGGAGGUGGGAUCCCCUUCCGGGGUGCACCAUCGACCGAUCCUGAUGUCUUCGGAUGGAUUUGAGUAAGAGCAUAGCUGUUGGGACCCGAAAGAUGGUGAACUAUGCUUGAAUAGGGUGAAGCCAGAGGAAACUCUGGUGGAGGCUCGCAGCGGUUCUGACGUGCAAAUCGAUCGUCAAAUUUGGGCAUAAGGGGCGAAAGACUAAUCGAA
rnacentral:rRNA from 1 species